CUACGGGUGGCUCCAGUGGGGAAUAUUGGACAAUGGGGGAAACCCUGAUCCAGCAAUGCCGCGUGUGUGAAGAAGGCCUGCGGGUUGUAAAGCACUUUCGGUUGGGAGGACUGCUUCUAGCACUAAUAUUGUUGGAAGUUGACGUUACCUUCAGAAGAAGCACCGGCUAACUCCGUGCCAGCAGCCGCGGUAAUACGGAGGGUGCAAGCGGUAAUCGGAAUUACUGGGCGUAAAGCGCGCGUGGGCGGCUAGAUCAGUCGGGUGUGAAAGCCCCGGGCUUAACCUGGGAACUGCAUCCGAUACUGUCUAGCUGGAGUACAGGAGAGGAGAGUGGAAUUCCACAUGUAGCGGUGAAAUGCGUAGAUAUGUGGAGGAACACCAAUGGCGAAGGCAGCUCUCUGGCCUGAUACUGACGCUGAGGUGCGAAAGCGUGGGGAGCAAACAGGAUUAGAUACCCCCGUAGUC
rnacentral:rRNA from 1 species